CCUACGGGAGGCAGCAGUCAGGAAUAUUGGUCAAUGGGCGCGAGCCUGAACCAGCCAAGUAGCGUGAAGGAUGACUGCCCUACGGGUUGUAAACUUCUUUUAUAAAGGAAUAAAGUGAGGCACGUGUGCCUUUUUGUCUGUACUUUAUGAAUAAGGAUCGGCUAACUCCGUGCCAGCAGACGCGGUAAUACGGAGGAUCCGAGCGUUAUCCGGAUUUAUUGGGUUUAAAGGGAGCGUAGAUGGGUUGUUAAGUCAGUUGUGAAAGUUUGCGGCUCAACCGUAAAAUUGCAAUUGAUACUGGCAGUCUUGAGUACAGUUGAGGUAGGCGGAAUUCGUGGUGUAGCGGUGAAAUGCUUAGAUAUCACGAAGAACCCCGAUUGCGAAGGCAGCUUACUAAACUGUGACUGACAUUGAUGCUCGAAAGUGUGGGUAUCAAACAGGAUUAGAUACCCCAGUAGUC
rnacentral:rRNA from 1 species